GAUCCCGGGGCGCCGCUGCCCUCCGCCCCCGGGUCUCCGGGAGGUGCGGGGCGCCCGCCGGAGGUACGAAACUCUUAUGUAUCACAGUGGCAUCUCUGAGUGAAAAACAAAUAAGUUAAAACUUUCAACAACGGAUCUCUUGGUUCUGGCAUCGAUGAAGAACGCAGCGAAAUGCGAUAAGUAAUGUGAAUUGCAGAAUUCAGUGAAUCAUCGAAUCUUUGAACGCACAUUGCGCCCGGCAGUACUCUGCCGGGCAUGCCUGUUCGAGCGUCAUUUCAACCCUCAAGCCCUGCUUGGUGUUGGGGCCCUACGGCUGCCGUAGGCCCUGAAAGGAAGUGGGCGGGCCUCCGCUGCACCUCCGAGCGUAGUAACUCAUUAUCUCCGCUAGGGACGUUGCGGCCGCGCUCCCUGCCGUUAAAGAACCCCAUCUUUUAACCAAGGUUGACCCUCGGAUCAAGGUAGGAAUACCCCGCUGAACUUAAGCAAUAAGCGGAGGAAAAGAAACCAACAGGGAUUGCCCUAGUAACGGCGAGUGAAGCGGCAACAGCUCAAAUUUGAAAUCUGGCUUCGGCCCGAGUUGUAAUUUGUAGAGGAUGCUUUUGGCGAGGUGCCUUCUGAGUUCCCUGGAACGGGACGCCAGAGAGGGUGAGAGCCCCGUAUAGUCGGACACCAAGCCUUUGUAAAGCUCCUUCGACGAGUCGAGUAGUUUGGGAAUGCUGCUCAAAAUGGGAGGUAUAUCUCUUCUAAAGCUAAAUAUAGGCCAGAGACCGAUAGCGCACAAGUAGAGUGAUCGAAAGAUGAAAAGCACUUUGAAAAGAGGGUUAAAUAGCACGUGAAAUUGUUGAAAGGGAAGCGCUUGUGACCAGACUUGUGCCGGGCUGAUCAUCCAGUGUUCUCACUGGUGCACUCGACCCGGCUCAGGCCAGCGUCGGUUCUCGUGGGGGGAUAAAAACUUCGGGAACGUGGCUCCUCCGGGAGUGUUAUAGCCCGUUGUUUAAUACCCUCGUGGGGACC
rnacentral:rRNA from 1 species